CCAGGUUCAAGGCUAGCUGACUGGGAAAGGGGCUGAUGUCACCUUUCCUCAACCACCACCUUGGCACAGGUACUGACCGUGCCAGCCCUGGGGGCAGGGAGAGCGCUGAGCGGGACACAGGCUCCGUCCCUCCCAGACCAGAGGUCACAAUGGGCAUGACAGGCAAGUAGGCAGACGUGUGGACAAGUAACAGAAGGAGCAUUUGUUUGGCCACAAGCAGCCGGUGGAAAAUUCCAGUGCUGACCCCAGAGUGAACCCUUGAGGGACAAGUUUCCAGAUGAAAAGAGUGACAGGUAAGGGUCCUCCAGCGUGAGGGAGGGUGGAGUGGCAAGAGAAGGGAUGCCAUCAUCUGGGGACACAGCAUGUAUCAUGACCGGAGUGCAGCCUGUGUGGCAAGGGAAGGAGAAACAGCCUUGGACGGCAAGUGGAGGAGUUAAAAUUUUCUUCUCCAGGAUGAGUCAUCCAUGAUUUUCGACUAGGACAGUGACCAGAGCAUGUUUUUUCUUCCGAAGAACUUUUUAGAAGGACUGGAGAGGGGAUCCAGAAAGCAGAAAGAGUAGCUGGGAAGUUGCUGGAAUUGUCCAGGAGCAAAGAUUGCAGUCCAGCUGCAACCAGACACUCAUGCCUUCCCCCCUGGGCUGGCUGCUUUUGACCUGCCCAGUCAUGCCUCUGGGCACUUCGGAAGGAGGGAAGGAGGGAGUAGUCCCAGGUACCCUCUAACGGAGAUGAGAUGAGCACGAAGGCAAGUCACAGACUCCACAUGCAGGACCCGCUUCCCAGAGCACCUGAGUCCCCAGUGCUUUCAUCGCUAUGGUCCAAACCCCACCUCACUCCUCCCAAGGCUUUGCUCUCCCAUCUUCUCAAGGCCUCCUGUCCUUUUGUGCUGAGCAUGAAGGCUCCAAGGUCAAAACAGGAUAAGUCAUGGGGACUGGCAGACUCGACUUUGCCUUCUUGAGCUUUGAAGCCCACUAACCCUAUAGCUAUCAUGGGUGGAGGGAGCCACGCUUCGCUUUUUUUUUUUUCUUUUUUUUUCUUUUUUUUUUUUUUUAAUAAAAAAGAUUUUACUCCCCA
rnacentral:lncRNA from 12 species